AACCCCCUCACCACGGAUAUCAGCGGGAGCCAAAGCCCGCCCACUUCCUGCUGGGGAUGCCGCCCAGAAAUCCGUCUUUUUCAAAACCUUUCCAAGUUCAGAAGACGCUCAGCGGAGCUUGGACACCUCCGCCUCCUACUGGGCCGCGCUUUUCCGCGCAGCAGUUGGAAGGAGUCCAGCGGAUGCGCCGCGGCUUCCUACCCCGGCUGUCCCGACCCCACCCUGCGCCGCAGCCGCGACUCGGCUGCGCCCUCUGCCGGACACACAGGGAAACCUCAGCUUCGUCAACCCGGUGAAAUGCAAAAUAAUGGAGCACAGUUUCCCAUUACUAUGAGACUACAGGACAGGGCAAGUCACUGGGAUGAGAGGCCCACGGGCCUUUGAAAGAGGAAAACCCUCUCUGGAGAGAGAUAGGCGGGAAGAUGAAGGCACCCAUCAGGGUGAAGUUUCUAUAGGCCAAAGAUGCCAGCAGAGGACGAGGAAUGAGAAGAGACCUGGAGCAGACUCCCACUUCCCAGGAGGAACCAAUUCUGCCAGUACCACGAGAGAAUAAAUGACUGUGCUUGAAGCUGCAUGCGUGCACGUGCACACACACACAUGCAUACACACGCACACAUGCAUGCACACACAUGCACACACACAAAUAGCCACACUGAAUCUUGCUAAAUCUGAUCCCAAUGAAUGGAUCUAGAAUGGGAGCUGAAAAUCUCACUAGUGACACAUUUGAAGAAAUUGACAGGGAUGCAAACACAAUAGCAUUUAUCCCAUGUCUCAUCAUAUGAUCUUUCAGCUGUAGGUUGCACUAUUCCUGCAUACCCAUUCUCUCUUCCACAAAUAAAUAAUAAUUUUUCAAAUAGCCCCCCCCAAAUUAAAAAGGAACAAAUCAAAGAAAGUGGAACACAGAUAACACCUCAACGUUCUCCUCUGACCUGAAAAUGCUCACACCGUGGCAAGCACACCCGUACAUGCAUGUGCAGACACACACACACACACUAAAUAAUUAAUUGUUAAAAAAGUAUUUUCUUGGGC